AGUAAAUCUGUAUUCUUACCAUUAUUAUUAUUAUUAUUAUUAUUAUUAUUAUUAUUAUUAUUAUUGUUCUGGUGAGUUGGCAUGAUGACACUGAAAAUUAACCAUCAGACUGAAUUCUGACUGAGCCUUAAAGCUGCCGUGAACCGGUCAGGUGGAGCAGUGAAGGCACCUUCAGGGACUUCAGUCCACCUUCAGGGACUCGCCUGCCGAGCCUCAGCCCCAUCCUGCUCCACGACAGCAAAAUGAGCCUGCAGGAUAAAUGAGAGGACCGCUGUGAUGGAUAAGGACGUGAAACUGCCUCACCAGCUAAGACCAGUUCCUCUCAUCGGCCUUUUGUCCUCCGUCGUGUCAAAGGCGGCCUCGAGUGGGUCGUGACGGACCGGCCGGCUCGCUGCAGCUCGGGGCUCCGUGGGCGUGUUUUUGGCUUUUGGGAGAAAGCGGUCAGUUAUUUGGUUGAACUAACUUUAAUGAGAUUGUGAAACACCUGAUGGAUGAAUCAUUGUUUUGCACAACCGCUAACGGGCACAGAGGAAAUUUGCACAUCUUGUUCAGGCAAAGCGUUGCACUUUGGAGUCUUUAGUUCACAUGCUGCAGCCUGACUGGCACCAGCAGCAGCAGCAUGUGGCUGACUCAGUAUUGCUUUUUAUGUCACUCGUGAUAUUGCAGCUCAGACUCGUAUGCGUAGUACAGAAAAUUAUAGGCUGCCACUUGAUCCGUAAUUACAGCCAAUGAGGGGAGCCGGGUGUGGAUCUGUGAGCUGAAAGCGGAGCGUGGGACACCGUGAUGACACAAUGCAGGUUCAUGACCUCCUGGCCCGGUCGCAGCACUCGAAGCUCCAUCGCCGGCGUGGGUCUGAGCCAGCCGUCAACUGACACCACAGCACCCAGAGGCCCCGCCGCUCCGAGACGGCUGCUGUAAUUACAGAGUCCCUCCACCCUCGGACACAACGCACACAAUACACACCCUGAAUAUCUCAUAAUGACUUUCACGUGUAGAUGCCAAACUGGUUUGUGGGUUUUGUUUUGUUUUAAGAUUAAAUUAAAGAGAUGUUGCUUGAGUCCUUGAGGCCUGUGGCUGAUAUAAUUAAUCCUAAUUAGAUUAGCCGUUAGCUGCCUUGGAAAAAAAAAAUUUCCCGAAAAGUGCUGUGCAAUUACAUGAGUUUACGUAAGGAGAAAUGUCACAACCUCACAUACAGGAGAGCUGAAAGGUGUUUAAUAGUGAUUAGCAGGGAGUUUGGACCAGUUUCUGUUUAAGUGUACUGAACCUUUUUAUUUUGGAGGGCGCUCAGUGGACUGUUUGCUACUCCCCACCCCUGGACUCUGAUUGUCAUAGCUUAGCAACACACUGCCAUGGCAGGCUUGUCAGGCGUUGGUUUUCUGCACAUGUUGAAGCAGCGGGGCUGCAGCGAGAGGGGAGGUUCAGCGUUGAAGUGCCUUUCAAAAACUGUAAGAAAUUAAUCGGUGUGUUUAUCUGCUCCAGGAAGCCACAGUUGCUAGCCUGCUGGGCCAAGUAGCCCCCUUAUCGAGAGUUAUUUCAAGGCUCAUAACUACAUUAACUAUAUAGCAGUUUGUGGGUUUAUAAGCUGCGUUUAGUAAAGCCUCCUUCACAAUUACUGUAGCCGCUGUGUGGAAGCUGAUGCUAACGGCGGUUAGGCUAACAUUAGCGGCUCUUUUUUACAUUUUGGAAAGUUUGCACCCGAGGAACCUCGGUCAAGUUAAUGUAAUGUUCAACAAAUAAGUUUCUCCUCAUCCUUUUUAAGGUCUUUUAACUAAAGAUUCUGUGGUUUCAUGUGCCGGGGGUGCAGUGCUUGGCAAACAGUCAGUUUUAUGACUGAUGAUUAUAUUUAUCUUUUUCUUUUCCGUGAGCUCAUACGUUUUAUUAAUGUAAUCUCAUGAUCCGGUCGUUAGCCCAGCCUCAUCCUCCCCCUCUGGGUGCUGCGAAACUCAGACAUGCUCGUUUCCUCUCUGCUUGAGAUUGUCACAGAGACAAGAACCAGAAAACGCCUCAUGCGGCGUGUCGACAAGGACC